GUCCAGGGGCGGGAAUCGAACCCACAACCUUCCGCCCACCGGGCAGAUGCCUACCGGGCAGAUGCCAUGUCCACUAGGCUACCCUGGA